AACGCGAAGAACCUUACCUACCCUUGACAUGGAUGGAAUCCCUGAGAGAUUUGGGAGUGCUCGAAGGGAACCUUGGAACACAGGGUGCUGCAUGGGUGUCGACAGCUCGUGUCGAGAGAUGUUGGGUUAAGUCCCGCAACGAGCGCAACCCUUGUUAUUAGUUGCUACAUUUAGGUGAGCACUCUAAUGAGACUGCCGGUGACAAACCGGAGGAAGGUGGGGAUGACGUCAAGUCCUUAUGGCCCUUAUGGGUAGGGCUUCACACGUCAUACAAUGGUACAUACAGAGGGCCGCCAACCCGCGAGGGGGAGCUAAUCCCAAAAAGUGUAUCGUAGUCCGGAUUGUAGUCUGCAACUCGACUACAUGAAGUUGGAAUCGCUAGUAAUCGCGGAUCAACAUGUCGCGGGGAAUACCUUCCCGGGUCUUGUACACAC
rnacentral:rRNA from 1 species